rnacentral:rRNA from 1 species
GACGAACCGUGCGAACGUUGUUCGGAAUCACUGGGCUUAAAGGGCGCGUAGGCGGGCUGCCAAGUCCGGGGUGAAAUCUUUCGGCUCAACCGGAAAAUAGCCUCGGAGACUGGCGGUCUGGAGUGAGGUAGGGGCAGCUGGAACUUCCGGUGGAGCGGUGAAAUGCGUUGAUAUCGGAAGGAACGCCGGUGGCGAAAGCGAGCUGCUGGACCUUUUCUGACGCUGAGGCGCGAAAGCCAGGGGAGCAAACGGG